rnacentral:lncRNA from 1 species
UUUUGGAGUCGCUGACUCUUUAACAGCUAUCAGCACCGACGAAUUUUUACUUUGACUGAAUUAAGGUCGGCAAAUAUUUGCCAACCUGGGAGGUUGAUAGGUCGGUAUUUAGGUCGACAUGGCCGAAUGCUGACCUCAUUUUGGAGGGCUGCAUUCACACAAUUUUUUUUACUGCCAAGGUGGACUGAUUGGUGCAUAUACAACCAGUGGUACAUUCAAAUCGGUGUGUUCAAUAUUACAAGAGUUAACUCCAAUCGAGAAGGAGAAAUUGCAUCGAUCAAUCACGAUGGCACUUGGAGAUGUCGGCAUGCUGGAUGUUGCUGCUGUGGGAGUACUUAUAGCAACAGAUCAAGAAUACAAACAGCAAAUGAUUGGGGCGAUGAUGGAGUACUUUAGGGAUGAAUUACAAAUGGAAGUUGUUGAGUGACAUGGAAGUAAAGUGGCAAUCUUGUGAGAUGCUUCGAUGUUUUCGAGUGAUCUGAUUUCAAAUAACACCAAAUAUUAAAUUUAUUUAUUAGAAUAACUGUAAAGCCGCAAAAAUAUACAGCACCAUAUAGAACACUUACAACAUCUAGUUUGUGCGCACAAUUUUUUACCCACUUUGCCCCCUACUUUGUUAUUUUACUCUUCAAAAUGUUUAAGAACGAACUUUCUCUAACCAAGCCUCAUUAAUAAUAUAUUUUGUGUUCAAUGUAUAGACCACAGUAAUAGUUUUUUUUUAAUGUGUUUAUUACAUCAACAAACGACUUUUCCAAGAUUUGCUCCAUCUUCAGGUAAAUAAGAUUACAAUUUGAAUUUUUAAACAUUUUUUUAUUUUACUCUGUCUAAUGCUGAAAUUAGGCAAAUUGUUAGUUUUUUUCUUGUGCUCAUUUUUUCAGCAUCCUUUUAACUGUUCCGCUGGAGGUAUACUCACUGCUAUUGUUUAUAACCAUUAUUAUUUAGGGGCUGUUCAUAUGAGCCCUGCUCUGCCGGGCUGGCCCAGCUAGCCGGGCUGGUUUUUCAAGUGCCGAGAUCCCGCCUCACAUAUUGUUUGUAUAUUAAUUUAGGAUUGGGUUCAUGUUAGAAGCAGGCCAGCCCGGUUUGCCGGGAUCUCGCUUGAGCGAGGCGAGAUCCCGGCUUGCCGGGCUCAUAUGAAUGCACAACCGGGCUAGCCUGGCAAGCCGGGCUGGAAAUUUGCGUGCUUUAUGCCCUUUAUUCCACUGAUAAACAGUCUAAAAUGUCCAAAACUAUAGGAAUUUAUUGAAAUUAAACCUCCUGAAGCUGUUGCCGUCGACAAAAAUAAACUUUUGCCAAAUAAACACGAAUUUUAUUUUCCCGCUAAAAUAUCGCGGGGAAUCGUUACUAUGAAUAGAUAUGAUUGCCGGGCUAGCCCGCCUCAUGUGAAAGCAAAGCGGGCCAGCUCGGCAAAGCGGGCCAGCUUGGUUAACCGGGCUCAUACUGUAUGAACAGGCCCUUACUCUGUCAAAUGCCAGAUGAUUUUACUUGUCAAGGGAUAGUAUCGGGAUUCAGUGGGCUAAUAUGACCUAUAAUUCAUAGCUUUCAUAUUGGUACUGGCUUGAAAUACUGUACAGCAACACGACAAUUUUUAUGUUUUCAACACACACUGUUUAAUUAAAUACACGUGCAAAAUAGUUAAUUUUCUAUUAAAUACUAAAUUUAGUUUGUAGAUCACUAUAAAUAAUUAUCUGCUCUGAAUGGUGUUCUAUAUGGAUAUUUUCUGCUAAAGUUUAUACUAGUGUACUGUAUAUACAUUUCUGUAACAUUUUAGCUAGCACGUCGUUGCGUGUUGGAAUUCUCUAUAAUAUUAUGUGCUAUUAAUUAAUCUAGAGAAAUUCAUCCUUUUGCUAUUUGAUCUAUUUGCUAGUAUAUAGUCCACAAAUCCACAAAUGAAAGCUUGUAUAUGGCAAUUAAUGCAAGGCCAGCGAGAGAGGGGGGGGGGGCAGAGGGGGAAAAUACCCGGGGGCUGGAGUGCUCAGGAAGGGGCCUGGAAAUCGACGUGAUCGAUCAUAAAACGUACCAAAUGUGAAAUAGAUGAUUUUCCGAUCGUUUUCGCAGCAAAAACAGUUAGCUGAACAUCGUUCACAUUGCGUUUUUAUCAGUUAUGCGGCGAUUUCUUGCGAGUAAUUUGCUGGUAAUUCUCUCGUUGAUUGCGAUUAAAAAUAGACUUUGGCGUGGCCAUACGCCAGCGGGAGAGUCGAGAGGGACAGGGGGCCCGUGUUCACCAAUUCGUCAUUUUGUCCCGGGGCCCGUGGUUGGCUCCCGCCGGCCUUGAAUGGACCAUUUGCAUUAUAGACUAAAUUUUGAUCUAGACAAAAAUUUCAUCACAGCUUGAAAGAGCAUCACAGAAUUAGUAAUAUUGCAAAGUUUCGUUGCGAAAUGUUGUAAAAUGCGGAUAAUAUAGCCAUGCGAAGUUUGCCGUUUUUCAGUCAUUUUGUAUUUAAUACGCACGGGAAAUUGACAGCCCAAUCGGGUGUUGGGGCAUCAAUUUCCCGUUUGUAAUCUAAAAUGACUGAAAAUUGCAAACUUCGCAAGGCUAUAUCAUCCGCAUUUUACAACAUUUCAUAACGAAACUUUGGAAUAUUACUCAUUUUGUGAUGCUCUUUCAAGCUGUGAUGAAAUUUUUGUCCAGAUCAAAAUUUAGUCUAUAAUGCAAAUGGUCCAUUAAUGAGGUAAAUUUCCACAUUCACACUGUCACUGCCUGGUAUGGUAAUUAGCGAUGGGCCGAUACCAAAUAUCGAUAUUAGAACAACGAAUUAAUACAUUUGAUACUUGCGAAAAGUAUUGGAGGUAAUUUCGAUGCAGCUUGUUGAGAUCAAGAUGGAUUUCGGCUAUUUUUAUGGUUGUUUUAGGCAAUACAAAAAAUUCAACCCUAACCCACAAUCAAUCCUAACCCCAAAGUUUCAAAUCUGCAAAUUGA